rnacentral:rRNA from 1 species
AACGAACGCUGGCGGCGUGCCUAACACAUGCAAGUCGUGCGAGAAAGUUCCUUCGGGAGCGAGUAAAGCGGCGCACGGGUGAGUAACACGUAGGUAACCUGCCCCCCAGUCUGGAACAACUAGAGGAAACUCUAGCUAAUGCCGGAUGAGACCACGAUCCCUUCGGGGGUUGCGGCCAAAGAUGGCCUCUACUUGUAAGCUAUCGCUGAGGGAUGGGCCUGCGGGCCAUUAGCUUGUUGGUGAGGUAACGGCUCACCAAGGCUGUGAUGGCUAGCUGGUCUGAGAGGAUGACCAGCCACACUGGGACUGAGACACGGCCCAGACUCCUACGGGAGGCAGCAGUGGGGAAUAUUGCGCAAUGGGCGAAAGGCCUGACGCAGCGACGCCGCGUGGGUGAUGAAGGCUUUCGGGGUCGUAAAGCCCUGUCGCAGGGGAAGAAUAAGCAAUCGGUAUAAUACGCCGGUGCCCUGACGGUACCCUGCAAGAAGCACCGGCUAA